GAGUCAGCAUGAGUCAUCUCGUUCCAAUGAGAAUGAAGGCUGAGGUGUGCGCCUUUUUUUUUUUUCCUUCUUAGUCGUGUGUACAUCAUUGGGAAUGGAGGGAAAUAAAUGACUGGAUGGUCGCUGCUUUUUAAGUUUCAAAUUGACAUUCCAGACAAGCGGUGCCUGAGCCCGUGCCUGUCUUCAGAUCUUCACAGCACAGUUCCUGGGAAGGUGGAGCCACCAGCCUCUCCCUGACAAGCAAAGUGGAUCAGCAAAGGCUGCAGUCACCAGCAUCUUUUCCAACCUUAAUGAACUGUAUCCUCAAAAGAACACUAUCAGACUGGUAAGACAAGCAUUAUUGUCCCACUUCACAGAUGAAGAGCUUGGGGGCCCUGUGGAUGUGUAGGAGAGUCGGCCUUCCUUUUUAUAGGCCUUUUGCUGAGCUCAGAGGACAGAGCAGAAGACAAAGCCGAAUGCAGCCCUAAGCAGACACUAUCCCAGCCCAAGGAGCUAUGCAGACAGCUCCUGCCUAGAGGAGAAACAAUUCUCUCCUUCAGCCAGGCAUGUGGCACAGAGGUGAACAGGAAAUGCUUAGGGAGACAGUUCACAGAUAUAUAUGUACUUCACAGGGCACAAUUUAAUCCAUAAAUCAAUCAUGGAUCACCGCUAAAGAAAACAAAAUAUGCUGCCACUAAUUUGCCACCACCCUGUGAGCAUGAUUGGAUGAUGUUUAUUUUGAUUAGGAGAUUGCUCCAUUUAUAAAUCUUCAAUACAUCCUGUCCCCCUAAAACGGCAUCUGGGUCUUUUGAGGGUUAAAAAAAAAAAAAAGUGAAAUUGGAUGAGGGAUGAGAGCUGGACUUCUGUGUGUCCCGGGGUCCCUGGAUCCACAGCCUGGUGCCUAGCAUCAGUUAAGCCCACGCUGGGGUCGCAUCACAUCCCGCAAAGCCACGUGCUCUGUGAGGCCAACAGGAGCCCCGCCGGGUGGACCAGCUGGAAUCUCAGAGAGCGCCGACUCUGAAACUACCCGGCUCUGCAGAAGCACGCUGGGCCCAGGGGCUUCUAGACUGACAGCUCCAUUUAUCAACUACCUAUUGGUUUUAAAAAUUGGAGUGUCUUUUCCGCGUUGACUGAUUUUGGCUCUAAGAGAUGUCGCUGGUCAUUUCAGAGUGACUGAACCUCCCCUCUAACAGAUCCCGGGAAUUGUUUUCAGGAAAGGUAAAAGGCAGCCUUUUCUGUCACAACACAACGCUGAGCCGGCAGCCUGGCUCUGUCAGGAUCUGGGGCUCCCGCGCCCGAGAAGCCCAGCCUCGCCGGCGGCCAAGUUCACCGCGAGGCCCCGCGCUGCCUGCGCUGCGCUCCCGGACCCGCACCGACCGCAGCGCGCGCCGCCGGUGCUUCUCCCACCCCAGCCUGGAAGCUGCCUCCCUCCGCCUAUGCCUGCAGGAUAAGAAGCCCGAGGAGGCGGAGCAUGGAACUCGACAGUUAAAACAUUUAAGAGAGAAAACCUAGUGUCUUGCUGGCCUGAAAUCGAGUACGCAGCCCGGGGUGAUCAGGGUCUCCCGGCCCGGAUGUGUGAGACUUGCUUCCCCUGGGCAAUAGGCGAUACGAUGCUUUAGGAGGAAGGUGUCUCUCCCUCCUAAGCCCCGGAGGGGAGAACUUCCAAAGACAGAAAACCACAGGCUUCCUGGCACAGAGCUUUCCCUUUAUCAGCUAAAGCAGAAUCUUUUCUGGCCUUAACCUGGCCCCUUCCUCUAACUGCAGGCAGAGAGGCAGACAGAAAAGCACUUGCUGAAACACAAAGUUUUGUUCUGUCCUCAACGAACUGUCUAGAGCUGAUUGCUGAUAGUCGUGGUGCAUUAUGCCUUCCUGGUUUUCAUUUAAUUGGGCACCACGCUGCCUUUCAAGACGCCUUAAAGGAACCAACAACCAAAUCCAAGAGAGCUGGACAGACCAUUGAACACACAGUAGGCUGUGUCUCGUGGCUUUCGUUGUCUGGUGCCUCAAAGAAAACACCAGAAAGAUUGUUUCUAAGCUAGAGCCACCCCAGAUUGCUUAAAGUGCAAAGCUCACUGCUGUUGGGGGUACCCUUGUGAGACACUGGAAAGCUGGUUUUACCGUGGCCCUAUGAAGAGGAAGACUGAAAUUUAGACAGUAAUACCUUUACUAGGAUUGGAAAAGAUUUGGUUAAUGACAGCCCUGUCAUUUCUAAAACCCAUUAUCACUGUAUGAGAGAUUCCUUUGCGCUGCAUCCUCGACAGUGCUUCCUAAGGCUCUGCCGACUUCCAGUUCUGGAACAAGAUGGUUAAACUCAUUUUUCCCUGCUCUGCUCCUCUAAAUACAACUAAGUACCUUGGAAACUAUUCAGCAGACAAUGAUAAAGGGCUCUGAAAGCUAGAAGAAAAGGUGUACUUGCAAGAAACCUCAGGACUUGAGUAACAGCAACAUGGCAGGCCAGAAAGCAGACCCAGGGAGGAUAGCACAUGUCUUCGGCUACACUGGUGAAGGCAUCGUGCCUGCUCCACAGCACAUUUUUAUUCAAGAACAAUCCAUUUCACAGAUGAAGAAACAGACUCAGUGAGCACGUGAUCACUUCUCACAACUAAUGGAGCCAAGAUUCUGUCCUUAUGGCUCCAGAGACCUCUUUUUUUUCCCACUGUACCACAACACUCACCAGGACUGGAGUGCCACCUAUGACCUCAUUGCAUAAUGGAUGGCUUGUCCUCAAAUGGGCCCGGGAAAGGAGAAAGAGACUACCUACUGCAUUUCUGUCACUCGCUGAAAAGGACACUCUGUCAGAAAAUCUUCUAGCAAACUUCAAAGGGCAAAAUCACCCCUUGUUACUGAUAAAGCCCAGAGAGCUUCAGCAGCUAACAUUCCCUGGACAGGGCACAGCAAGGAUUUGAACCUAGGUCAGUCUGGCCAGAACACCCACAAGCUUUCCUUAACUCAGUGUGCUAUCUCCCCACGACUAGGUCACUACUGCUUUAUAAUCACCUUUGUAGCCACCAGUGGAUUUUGCUCAUCAGUAUUUUUCAGGCAAUUGAUACUUUAGAUAUUCAGCUGCAAGACGUAUGCAGUUUUCAUUGACAUCUUUUGGAGAAACUGACAAACCUGGACUUGACUUAAUGCCUUUGGAACCUUCCAAGAUGUUAUAUAACUCUAGAUAGAAGGCUGGGCCUCCAUGAUGUCAGGAAUGUUGCAUUCUUAUUUCCCCAUAGAUAAACCCAUUUGUCCACAAAGUCAAGGAGUCAGGCAGAGGCCCUUGCCAUGGGGCUUUUUAGGAUAAAGCAACAAGCCUGGACUUUGCUCUACAACAGGGUUUUGCAUAGGGAGUGGUAUGACCAGAUCCCUCAAGAAAGAAAGCUUAGAGACCAGGCCAGAGUCCACUGCAGUAGCCCAGUCAAGAGAGGAUGGUGACUUGGACUUGUAGUAGAGCCAGUUAGAAUGAAAGAAAUUGACACAUUCAGAAAUGGUUUUAGAGAUAGAGUCAAACUGGACCUGAUAAAGAACUAGAGAAGCGGAGUGAGGAUAAAGAGAAGAGCCAUGACUGACUCGGAAGAUUUUGUCUUGAAAAACUUGAGAA
ensembl:lncRNA MIR4435-2HG MIR4435-2 host gene